rnacentral:lncRNA from 1 species
CUCCUCCCACUUCUUAAAUUUCAAAAUCUCUCCCCCUUUUCAAAAACUUUCUUUGCUUUGGAUUUCUAAACUUAGACUUUAUUGCAAAUUAGAAAGUCUGGCCUUAUGCCAUUGCAUUUUUAAACUCUUUUCUUAAAUCAAACUUGUAAAAUAAUCUAAUCAUAUUGACUUAAAAUUUCAAAAGACAAAAAUAACUAACACUCAUUCAAACUCUU